rnacentral:rRNA from 1 species
UACGGGGGGGGCAAGCGUUGUUCGGAAUUACAUGGGCGUAAAGGGCUCGUAGGCGGCCAACUAAGUCGGAUGUGAAAUCCCCAGGCUCAACCUGGGAACUGCAUCCGAUACUGGAUGGCUUGAUCCGGGAGAGGGAUGCAGAAUUCAGGUGUAGCGGUGAAAUGCGUAGAUAUCUGGAGGAAUACCGGUGGCGAAGGCGGCAUCCUGGACCGGCAUUGACGCUGAGGAGCGAAAGCCAGGGGAGCAAAACGGG